rnacentral:rRNA from 1 species
GACGAACGCUGGCGGCGUGCCUAAUACAUGCAAGUAGAACGCUGAAGGAGGAGCUUGCUCUUCUGGAUGAGUUGCGAACGGGUGAGUAACGCGUAGGUAACCUGCCUGGUAGCGGGGGAUAACUAUUGGAAACGAUAGCUAAUACCGCAUAACAGUAGAUGUUGCAUGACAUUUGCUUAAAAGGUGCAAUUGCACCACUACCAGAUGGACCUGCGUUGUAUUAGCUAGUUGGUGGGGUAACGGCUCACCAAGGCGACGAUACAUAGCCGACCUGAGAGGGUGAUUGGCCACACUGGGACUGAGACACGGCCCAGACUCCUACGGGAGGCAGCAGUAGGGAAUCUUCGGCAAUGGACGGAAGUCUGACCGAGCAACGCCGCGUGAGUGAAGAAGGUUUUCGGAUCGUAAAGCUCUGUUGUAAGAGAAGAACGAGUGUGAGAGUGGAAAGUUCACACUGUGACGGUAUCUUACCAGAAAGGGACGGCUAACUACGUG